CGCGUCUAGACAUGACAGAGACGGGGAGUAGGGAGGACGCGUGCGCUUGGGAGACGGAUGAGCCACUUGAACAACCUUCUGGGGCCGUUUCCUCUACCUGAUGACCUCAGUGCAGCAUGGGAGGCGUGAGUCCAGGAGGCUGCAGGCGUGUUUCACGCGUGCACCCGUGACUCUGCGCGAUAGCAGUGUUUGCCCCCGGACACAAGCCUGCCCACGGACCCCCCGGCAGGAUCCGAGCCACGCGGCUCUGCUCUCAGCCUGUCAAGCCGUCGCAGCCUGACCACGCGGACCUCCCCCUGUAAUCUUUGUCCCAAUGGAGCGUUUUCAACAGCAUCAACACGCAUUCCAGCGAAUACAGGAAAGUAAACACACACAAACACCAAACACACCCACGUGGGCCGUGACCUCAGCCGUGAGUUCACUCCACUCCCGCACAUAUGGGCCCCUGGCACCGGCUCAGCUCUCGGCGGCUGCCCUGCUACUAUCAGCACAUUUUUAAUUGCCUGGCUUCGGAGAUGUGUGAUGACAGCACUCAUGUUUAUUUUUAUAUGCCGCCAUAAAGUCCCGAAUAGCCCCGGACCGUAUAAGGCGCCUGCGUACGCCGUUUGCUCAUUAGGGCUCGUAUUUUUAGACUGUUCGUACAAAGUGUUAGUUUUGCUCUCAAACAACAAAUGGAAAUGGAGAAAAAGAGUCUGCAAAGCAUCCAAGCAUCCAUUUGAAGCUACAAGGCACAUUGGGUUCUAUGUCUGCAUAAUGUGUCUCAUAAUGGAGCUAACGAGGUGCCAGGUUACUAUUUUAGCGGCGCCAUAAAUAAAGCAGUAUCCACGGACGAUGCAGCACAACGUGCCUCACCUGCACAUCAGGUGAUGGUGCUCAAAAGGCAUGACUUGAAAUAAAACAAUAGCUGCCACACCUUCCCAACAAAGAAAAUAUUUCACGAAUGAAUCUCAGCGUGCAGCAUCGUCCGGUCUUUCGCGUUGGUCCUGUAGCUCUGCGUUUUCCGUGCCCAUCCCUUUCCUUUCAUCUCCAGGCACCAGAGACUUCCAUCUACUGUAUGUGAGCCUAGCCUCAGAGGCAAUCCUCGCGUCACUCUGUAUCACCUGCACUCGGCUCUCCGAGCAUGAAUUCAAACACCAGUGGUGCGAUCGCCGUGCGCCCGAGUCACAAGGUCGGACGCAGGCCGCAAAAAUGAAGGAGCAGCUGCGAGAUGAGCUCCCGACCGCUCGGCAGUCAGUGGACAUCAUCGUACUUGACCUGGAACGUGGAGUUCAUGGUGACAUAUGAACUCAUGACAAGCGAGCGGCGGACGAGUGUGACGAGGCCUGCUGUUCCUGAUGACGAGGCGGGACGGAGGAGGAGCUCUCCGCUCCCUGCUCAGUGAGGGAGCACUGCGUGUGUGAGGGAGUUGGCUGAGCUGCCGGGACAGAGUAGAGGAGAGUAAAGUGCAAACCAGAGGAGGAGGACAGACGUAGUAGUAAUCUUAUCUCUGUGGCCUACUUUCAAACAUUAUACAGCAGAAACGGUCAAACCGACCUCUACACAGUCAUUUAUAUAGGCCGCGAGUUACUUCCACAGUGUUUGUUACAUACUCACAAACAAGCUUUUAUGUUAUGUUGCUGUUAAAGCUCGAAAAUACUUAAGCUACGUGAAGCUAACACUAGCGAGACAGAAGUUGGAUAAUUCGAACAAAGUGUAUUUUCCACAUGUUGUUUGCUGGCUUCAUGCGGUAUCUGCUACAGACAGGGCGUUAUUAUCAUUACGAAUCCAUCUCGGCUCCAUAAAUUCAUAAAAGUGAUAAAAUACAAUAAAAUAAUCUGCGUGCAUCGUAACCCAGACGAGUGGCGGCGCUUGGGUCGCGUUUAUUGCAUAAUGGAAAUGUAAUCACCACCGCACAACUUGGUUUGUGGAGAUGGUAAAAUGCACUGAAAGGCAGACCAGUCGGCUGCUGUCUAGAGACUACGUGUAACUGUCGCUAAUAUCUCAGUUGGUGAACUAUUAGCACUGAACUUCCACCGUGUUGCGGUGCGAAAGUGAGAAACGAAAAAACAGACUGUGACUCGGGGACUUCUACAUUUUCACCACCAGACUGACCGGGACGCGUGUGCUGCUGCAAGACUGCAGCGGCAACAGGACAAUGCACCAUUCGUGAACUUUAACUGUGCACAUUUACUCCAGGACCGACCCGCUGGCUGGUUCUGAACAUGCACGGUGAACUGAGCAAAGUCUCUUAUUAUUGGAACGAAGUGGGCGAAAAUCCUGAGGACAGAAGAUCCGAUAAAGAAAAAAAAGGGAUGACUGCUGAUGAAUGUUGAACAUAAACAUGUGGAUGGUGCGUGACAGCCGGAGGUACGGCCAUUAUUAAUCAACCGUAGCUGCUCAGUGCGGAAAAUAUUCCAGCGAGUCUAUAUGUUUGGCAGGAAAUCAAGUUCUGUGCAUGUCUCCCAUCUGCAGAGUCUACAGACGGUCGACGUACAGAUCGGCAUUAAUCUGAAAACCUACGACUUCUAUGAUGCAUGAGUGAGAGAGUUUCUGAAACGAGCGCUUAUCCUCACAAGUAUGAGCUUGAUUCACCUUGACUUGAAAGGAAAAGGUGAUAAGUGAAGCACUGACAGGGAGAAGCCCCCCCCCAACCCCCAACCUGGAUUUGAUCCCUCUCCCUCCACACCAGGCUCCGCUUCGUCUCUUAUGGCUAAUUAGAUUAGUGCACUUUAUUAGCCGGCCAGAGGCCGAGAGGAAAGGUCGACAAAUAAAAGUAGAAUUAAAACAUACCACCAUUAAACAAUAACUGUAUCAUCACGCCCCUCGUGCCUCGAUGCUCAGCUGAUUGUCACAUCACAUGCUAACACAAACAGCCACACUGGGGCUUGUUUGCAUUGAGAGCGGCGACUAUGAAGGGAAUCCAUAUUAAUACACUUUGUGCAUCUGUUGUUUUUGAUUUUGUCCUUGUUUCAAUAUUAUGGACUGUGCCGUCUGUUUUACAAUACAGCUGAAGGUAGUCUGAAAAACAGCAAAAGCACUGGAUAGAAACAUUAAAUGUUGCUUCAUGAAUUCAUGAUGUAACUGUGAGUUUGGCAAAAUGUAAUAGUCCGAAAACAACAGUUGAUCGUAUCACUGCCCAUGAAGUUCAUGAUCUCAGGUACUCGGACCCCCCCAACACCAGUAUAUUUUGAAGGGGCCCCAUUUAGGGGGUUAGGGCCAGCACUGCGUCGUGGCUUUACGACACCUAUAAAGAGUUUAUAGUUGUCCAGACCAGGACAUUAGAUUUUUGUGGGGGAGGGGUCACACAUUUGUCUGGUUUCUAUUCUAUUCUCACUUUGCUAAUGUAAUCUAACAGUUUGUUGUGAAUUCUCAGAAGGGAGCUUUGUUGAGCUCAUAAGGCUCAUUUGCUGAACAGUGGCCUGAAAUAUUACACAUGCAUGUUCCCUUUCUGAAUCAGCACAGUGUGCUAGCACAAUGUCUGUAUUUGGGUCAUUUCUGCUAGAAGCAGCUCAAACUUUAUCGUCUGGUGGCUAAUUUCUUCAUUAUUAUUUGCAGAGGCUACUUGACAUAUUGUCUAGUGGUGGUUUAGUUUCACCUACACACACACAGGCCUGAUAAGCCUCCAACUAUCUCCAGCCUGCAUCUACCUUCUCUAUGGCCGGCUGACCGCCCCCCUGCUGGGAGGGGGCCGAUUCGUUUGACCGCUGACCUUGCACUACUUGAGCCCCUUUGAAGUCGGCUGGUUGGAGGUUUCUUAACAACGCUGGACAUUAAAGGGAGCGGUGAUCAAACCGCCGCUUCCUUUUAUAGACCGGCCUACAUGAGAAAAUGGCCUCCCUCAGGGCUAACAGCAUGAUGAAAAGGUGGCCUAAUGAGAAACGCCCUAAAUGGCAGAGUGUCUCCUACCUGAGGGUGACAGAGGUCCUGCUGAGUGGACGCCAUAAAGCUGCUUGUUUGCUCAAACCUUAGUAAACAUUUAACAAGAACAUUUAACGAACACAAAGUAAAUCCACGUAAUGUAUCACAUCAAAACUUCAAGACGAAUGAACUGUGAAUCUCUGUUUGACUCUGGCUGUUAUCUUGGUUUUAUCAGCCUCCAGAAGGAGUCUGUCAGUGGGAGAUUUGAGCAACGCCACCGGUGGAGCGCGAGAUAGGCGAGCUGACACCGAGAGCGGCACAGUCUAAUUCAUGCUUUUUCCUGCUGUGGUUGUUUUCCCCUUCCUUAUAACUGGCAGGGAUUGAUUUAGAGGCCGCUGCUGCCGAACGCACCCCCCCCCCGUCUCUCUCUGCGCUAACGGCAGAGGUCGUCAGCAAACGCAAGGACAUUCCUGCAGCUCGGUGCGUCUCCGCGUGGAACUCCCUGCCUCCAUUUAUCUGCUUCCCUCUGUCAGACCAGUGAAACGCUGCGGUUUCAGCUUUCUGCUCUAGUUUGUUAGCUUUGCCUCGCUUCCUUCCAUGCAUUUGCACGCCACAGAGGCUGCCAGCGCUCUUUGCGCUCUUUGUGCCCGUGUGUGUGUGUGUGUGUGUGUGUGUGUGUGUGUGUGUUUAUUCUACAGCGUCGAGCCCUUGGGAUGUGACCCAUCAUAAUGACUGCUCAUUACCUACCAUGCUCUCCUAUAAAGAUAUAUUUAUACACCCAAGGACAUAACCUCAUCGCUCAUCUACAUAACAAUUAUGGCUCAUUUUAUAGGCCUCUCUGGAGCCAUUCAGGAAGCACAGAAUCCACUCAGUUGCAGAAAUGGCCUGGGUGAUAGACAGAUUGGAAAAUUAACAACAGCCACCAGUCAUAACGACGGUUAAAUUGCUGCUGUGGCUUGUAAGUUUGUCUACCAAUCUCCUUUGGUAGAUGCGACGGGUAAACUGAUGAGACAGAGGCUUCAACAACAACACUCUGGUCAUGCGAGCCCGUUACAACAGAACAAUGAGUGAAUGUUCAGAGAAAAUCAUGAAUUUGAGCAGCUAAACUUGGAUUGGUGCUCAAAAGACCAUAAAACCACCUUUUUGUUUUUGUCCUCGCUCAGCUGUGAUAUUCCCAGCGUGUGUUGACACAGUUCGGGUCACGGUCUACCUGGCGCCACGAGUGACACGAUGACACGAUAAGCGCAAAGUGUGACACUGUGGCGAAGGGUCAACAGUUCAAGGACAAGGAGAAUCAAGAACACGUGCAAGAGUUCAAAAAAUGCUUGAGUUGUGCACAGACUGAAAGCAGAUGCAGGUAUUUAUGACGCAGGGCUCAUUUCGUG